rnacentral:rRNA from 1 species
GAUGAACGCUGGCGGCGUGCCUAACACAUGCAAGUCGAACGAAGCUUGCGGAUUGGAAUCCUCCGGGAGGAAGAACCGUAAGACUGAGUGGCGGACGGGUGAGUAACGCGUGGGUAACCUGCCCUGUACAGGGGGACAACAGCCGGAAACGGCUGCUAAUACCGCAUAAGCCUGCGGCGGCGCAUGCCGCUGCAGGGAAAACUCCGGUGGUACAGGAUGGGCCCGCGUCUGAUUAGCUGGUUGGCGGGGUAACGGCCCACCAAGGCGACGAUCAGUAGCCGGCUUGAGAGAGUGAACGGCCACAUUGGGACUGAGACACGGCCCAA